UUUCGAUCACGCGCGGAAAAUAGAAGGAGACAAGAAGGGGCUUGCGCGCUCCCUUUACAAUCUAGUUUAGUUUAGUUUAGUUUAGCACUCGCUGCCGACGAAGUAAGAAAAAUGCCAAAGAAAGGCGCGCCCGCUGCACCUUUCGAGUGGCAGCGCUACACUACUACUACGGGUGGGCAAAUAAGGGUUGAGGGAAUUAGAUUAGCAUGGUGAUAGGCCUAGUAAAGGCCAGCUAGCCUACUUAAUAACUCGUGACAGCGACGGCGACCGGAGAAGGUCGGAUCGAGUCGAGUCGAGUGCAGGGCAGGUUGAGUGCGGUGGGGUGGUGACGGGCGGAAAGGGGAGGGGCGGCUUUCCUUGGAAGCGGCCGGCAGGCCAGGGUGGGUGCCGCCGGCGCGACUGCGGCGGCCGCCGCCGCCGGCCCUAGGCCCCGACCCCUAGCCGCCUAGGGCGCCCCGUGUAUGUACGACGGGGGUACCUGGUCGAGGGGCUGAGGGAGGGGAGGAGGAGGUGUAGCGGCGUCCUCAGCGCCGCCAGCCACUUCGCCUCCGGCGGCGGGCGCCCCAGGGGCCUCGGCAGCGGCUCCCGCCGACGCCCGCGCCGCCUCGACGAGGCCGCCCACCUCCUCGACCUCCGCCGGCGCCGCGCCGACCGCUACCUCUUCCUCCGGCGCCUCCUCAGUCGCGACCCGGACGUCCCGCUCGACCUCCGGCUCGCCCGGAGCCGGCUCUGCCGCCGGUCGCUCCGGUACGAGUACUAGCUCGCGGACGUCGCCCUCUUCCGGCGCCGGGUCUACCUCCGGGCGGUCAAGGCGGCGAUGCGGCUCCCGGCGCGGCUGGUGCUCGCGCUCCACGUCCUCCUCGAGCGGAGCGAGAGGCUGGAGCGGCGCAGGAUGGUGAGCGCCGAGGUCAGGGUGCCCUAGCUGGGGCUGUGUAAGAGGCUGCUCCUCCUGCUCCUCGAGAUGCUCCUCGUCGCGCCCGUGCGCCUGGUCUAGCUGGACCAGUGGGGGCUCCGUCUCCCCCUGCCGCGGCUUAACAAUCAGUCACGACCGUACCUCCACUUUCGGUACCAACUGCUGUUACUACUUCUAGUUGUCGUCAAGUGGUGGGGACACCUCUUUCUCAAGCUCAUGUGCCACCUACAAUCCACGCGCUCGGGCUUCUACCGCCGGCACCGGCACCACCCCCUCAUGCACCCCCUACAUCGGCCGUUACGUCCCCCAAACAUACGCUCCCACCUCCGCGACCUCCGCCUGUCUCGUCGUUACGUAUCUCUCUAACGCCGCGACGCCCGCCUCUCUCGUGUCAACCAGUACCGUUCCCUCUACCGAGCAGCUGAGACGACCCUUCACCAGAGACUCUCCUUUUCGUAACAAUUGUUCCGACAACAGGGCCGGUUCUCUAAGAGCCGUAAUCCUUAAACGUUCACCAACGAGAGGCAUUAGAAAACCUCUUCUUCGAGAUGAUGGUCCAUAUGCAAACCGAACAGUUGAUGCAAGGAACCGGAGGACGACGAGGAGCUGUCUAGGUGGUGCAACUCAGGUACCGCCGCAGACGUAUCCGGUGUCGUUACUGGUGUCGGAGGCGGUAGGGUAUCGGUUUGUGUAGCGUCAUAACCGCUACAUUCAAAACCGAAAGUUCGAAACUCGAACGACAUAUCACACAAUAACUCUGAUGAUCCGAACGUAUCGAACAUUAGACCUCGAUUGACUGCACGCCACUCAACACCUCAGAGACUACAAAGGUCACGACAGAGGCAGAGGAGGAGCCGUUCAUUUACGACACAUGAAGUGAGAAGUCUAAACAUGAAGAAAACUAGAACUUGAUCGUAGC
rnacentral:rRNA from 1 species